CGAAAUGCGAUAAGUAAUGUGAAUUGCAGAAUUCAGUGAAUCAUCGGAUCUUUGAACGCACAUUGCGCCCACUAGUAUUCUAGUGGGCAUGCCUGUUCGAGCGUCAUUUCAACCCUCAAGCCUUAGUUGCUUGGUGUUGGGAGCUUAUCUUGCCGGAAGGCGGAUAACUCCUUAAAACCAUUGGCGGUGUCGCGGUGACGCCAAGCGUAGUAAAUCUCUCUUUUUCUCGCUUUAGGCAGUCAACGCUGGCCUCUAGCCGUUAAAACCCCCCUAAUCUUUUAAUGGUUGACCUCGGAUCAGGUAGGACUACCCGCUGAACUUAAGC
rnacentral:misc_RNA from 1 species